UACGUAGGGUGCAAGCGUUGCCCCGGAUUUAUUGGGCGUAAAGGGCGCGUAGGCGGCCAUUCAAGUGACGGGUGAAAGCCCUCGGCUUAACCGAGGAACUGCCUGUCAGACUGGAUGGCUUGAGACCGGGAGAGGUGAGUGGAAUUCCCAGUGUAGCGGUGAAAUGCGUAGAUAUUGGGAGGAACACCAGUGGCGAAGGCGGCUCACUGGACCGGAACUGACGCUGAGGCGCGAAAGCGUGGGGAGCAAACAGG
rnacentral:rRNA from 1 species